CGCCGCGUGCAGGACGAAGGCCUUCGGGUUGUAAACUGCUUUUAUAUGUGACGAUAAUGACGGUACCUAUAGAAGAAGCCCCGGCUAACUUCGUGC
rnacentral:rRNA from 1 species